rnacentral:lncRNA from 1 species
AUGCUGAGUCUACAGGGCAGCUUCCCUGUGGCCAUCUUACUGUCCUCUGCUCUGCCUACUUCCCUGCUGUCACUACACAGAAUAGACUCCCAUCCCAUGCACCAAACACUUGAAGUAUUUACCACAUGUACAGUGAGGACAAGAGGGAAAAUACUCAAAAUACAAGGACAGGCCAGCUCGCAGCUUUCUACCCCACCAGCUUCCUUCUCCAUUUCCCAGCAAGACAAGUCCAAACCCCUGGUGGCCUCUUACCAGACAGACAUACCCUUGAAAGUGAGUUCCUAUUUUGGACAACUGUGGAGAAAGAAGUGGCCACAGCACCACAGCUAGCCCAAGACUGUUGACAAGGCUCCCAGGAAGGUUCUCACCUGGACUCGGGAAAAAGGCUCGAUGACCCGGAUCAGAUUCUGUUCCAGUAAGUUAUCGUACAGCUUGGCCAAAUGUGUGCUGAUGAUUGGGUCAUCCCGGAGCUCUGCCCUGUAGUCUGUCAGGGCCUGCAAAACAAACCUCACAACUGUUAAGAUCUGGGGAAAAUAUUAAGGCCUAGAAGGAAUGUUAAGGCCUAGGUAAUUGUUACCUGGCUAACCUGCCAUUUUGUGCUGUUACUAAUAUAAGGAAACUUUCUUAUAUGUUGUUUCUGCUGUUACUAGGAAACUCUCUCAUGACCAAGCUGAUUACAUAGUCUGCUAUGUUCUGUGCCUUUGCAAACCAAUCCAAUCACGACGUAAAGUCAGUAGAACUGCUUUGUACAGUUAUCCAUGUGUGGGGCAGAGGACCAUGCCACCAGACACAAGAACUAGUAAGGUAGUUCAAAACCCCAGCAAAUCUCGUAAUUGAGAAGGGCAAGAAUUCAAACCAGCUCCUGACUAGGGUCCUGUCCUGGAGCACAACACCCCACU